GACUAGUGACAGAGAGAGGGAGGGGGUGACUAGUGACAGAGUGAGGGAGGUUGUGAUUAGUGACAGAGGGAGGGAUGAGGUGACUAGUGACAGUCACCACCUCCUUCACUCUGUCACUAGUCACCCCCUCCCUCACUCUGUCAUUGUGUCA